UGGGGAAUAUUGCACAAUGGGCGCAAGCCUGAUGCAGCCAUGCCGCGUGUAUGAAGAAGGCCUUCGGGUUGUAAAGUACUUUCAGUCGGGAGGAAGGUGUCAAGGUUAAUAACCUUGGCAAUUGACGUUACCGACAGAAGAAGCACCGGCUAACUCCGUGCCAGCAGCCGCGGUAAUACGGAGGGUGCAAGCGUUAAUCGGAAUUACUGGGCGUAAAGCGCACGCAGGCGGUUGAUUGAGUCAGAUGUGAAAUCCCCGGGCUUAACCCGGGAAUUGCAUCUGAUACUGGUCAGCUAGAGUCUUGUAGAGGGGGGUAGAAUUCCAUGUGUAGCGGUGAAAUGCGUAGAGAUGUGGAGGAAUACCGGUGGCGAAGGCGGCCCCCUGGACAAAGCCUGACGCUCAGGUGCGAAAGCGUGGGGAGCAAACAGG
rnacentral:rRNA from 1 species